UCGGGUUGGCGAAAAAGUUUGUUUGGGUUUUCUCAUAAGAUGGUAUGAAAACCGAAUGAACAUUUUGGCCAACCCAAU
rnacentral:miRNA from 1 species